UCUAUCACCCAUUUCCCGAAAUUUGCAUUGAUUGGAGGAGCGGGUUUGCUUGAUUACGGGGCGGACUCCAACUUUCCAUAAUUAGACUGCAGUGAGACACGGAAGCCCUUUCGCUUCCUUCCGUUCCACCACUGACCGGGGGUUGUGUUGUUGAUGUCGGGGAGGACACUCUAGCUGGUGCUUCUCGCUGUAAGCGAGUGCGUUGACUCGUACAGUCUCUCCUGCUGUAAUUGCUCGUGGCUCGGCUUGUGGCUGGAGCACUGAAGUCCUCCGAGUAGUGCGCGAAGCGUGUGCAAGCUUCUGCUACGGAGAUCUUUGCGCCAUCACGAUUCAGAUUGAGGCUACGUGCGCAGUAUAACCACUCGGGCGGGGAGUGACCAGCAACUAGGGUGACUCCGCGGCAUCACAGGCUGCUGCUCUGUUUGGGAACAUAGUCCCCUUUUUGGGUUACUGUUUCCACUGGCUCGAUAGGUCGUGGGCUACUGUGGUCGGGUUCUAUCGACGCAGGCAGACCCCCAGCAACGCGCAAUAUCACCUGCUGACUACCUGCACUCGCGGCAACACCGCUGACCGCAUAGGCUAUUUUGUGUUUGAGUUUUGAUUUGAUUUAUUUUGUGGUUGCAUAGGUGGCAAUGUGCAACACCCCUAUUUUGUGAUUAUUUUGUGGACGUGGGGGAUUCGUGAGAGGCAUACCCCUCGCCUGUUUCUGCCAUAUUAUUUCUGUUUUCUUAUCAAAUUUAACUGAAGACAUUCUGUGUUCUUUUGUUUUUGUUUCUUUUGGUUUGGGUUGAUUAAUUUUGUGGGACCUGACCUGACUGGGUCUUCUGAGGUCUGUUCCUCAAAUUGCAGCAGCCUAACUGCAUUGGGGGGACUGGCUUCUCCAGUCCCAGUGGGUCUCUGUCUGACUGUCUGUCUGUGUGUGUGUGUGUGUGUGGUGUGUCUGUGUGUGUGUGAGCGUGUGUGUUCAGUGGUGGUUACUUAACAUCUGUCUACUGUAUCCCUUCAACCAGGGUGGCUGCACUCCUUCGGCGCAGUGUCUCCUCGAGCAGCAUUGACAUAGCAAAGUUAAGUAGAGUGGAAUGCAUUAGUCUGUACUGAAUUGACAUAGCCUAUACCCUGUACUCGAUCCUGUGUCUCAAGCCCCUUUUCUCUCUUCUAUAUUUUGGACAGGUGUGGUCGGAGCGAGGCAACCGGCAGGCAGACCUUGGUGGUGGACCCCUCUUCACUUUCUUUGCUGUGCCGCACGACGGGUGUUUAUCUUAUUAUUUUUGUGUGUUUUGUGUUUUUUUAUUAUUCCUUCACGAGUGGUGUAUAUUCUGGGACUUCCUCUUCUCUCGCUCUACUGCCCGAGCAGCAGCCUGAAGGCCAACCCCUGGGUCCUGGUCGCUAGACGUUUAGCUAUCUUCUAAAUUGUAGGCCCCUUUGCGUCGUUAGAAUGGAGGACGACAUGCAACAGCUCAGAGAGGAGUUGGAGCGCCUAAGGGCGGACAACGAGCAAUUGCGGCAGGAGCGGGCUCCCCGGCAGGGUGGCUGCACUCCUUCGGCGCAGUGUCUCCUCGAGCAGCAUUGACAUAGCAAAGUUAAGUAGAGUGGAAUGCAUUAGUCUGUACUGAAUUGACAUAGCCUAUACACUGUACUCGAUCCUGUGUCUCAAGCCCCUUUUCUCUCUUCUAUAUUUUGGACAGGUGUGGUCGGAGCGAGGCAACCGGCAGGCAGACCUUGGUGGUGGACCCCUCUUCACUUUCUUUGCUGUGCCGCACGACGGGUGUUUAUCUUAUUAUUUUUGUGUGUUUUGUGUUUUUUUAUUAUUCCUUCACGAGUGGUGUAUAUUCUGGGACUUCCUCUUCUCUCGCUCUACUGCCCGGUAAGCCUAUGCCCCACCCCCAGUUAGUUCUAUAACAUUUACAUAGGCUUCUCUCCAGUGUGGCUAUCAG